rnacentral:misc_RNA from 1 species
AACGCACAUUGCGCCCCCUGGCAUUCCGGGGGGCACGCCCGUCCGAGUGUCAUUUCCACCUCAAGCUUCGGGCUUGGUGUUGGGCGGCAGCCGCAAGGGUGCUCCCUAAAUGCAUUGGCCCGCCUAGGGGCCGCCUGAACGCACAGCGCCUAACCGCCCGCGUUCUAGCGCCCUCCGGCGGCUGCUGCACUCUUUGACCCUUCGCAUGGCCUCGGAUCGGGCGGGGAUACCCGCUGAACUUAA